AUAACAGAUCUACUGCUUUCCUUCCAAAUAACUUCCAAAAAUAAUCAAACUUGUAAAGUUACAUAAUGUGCAAUUAGUAAUGCUUUAUUGUUUCUUUUUCAGUUUUUCUUUCCCUUUUUCUCCUAUCUCUGCCUGUGGCCAUAUAGGCAGAAUAGAAGACAUGUGCUCCUCAAAACCAGGAAGGGGAGAGAAAGGCCAGGCCCAGCAGGCAGGCAGCAUCAGUCAGGACCACGCUCAGCUGCGUGGAGGAGAGAGCUGGCUUCUUUGGCUUAGACAAGGGUGGCAAUGUUUUCCUCACUAAUGAGGAAUCUGGGCGGGGCAGUCCAGAGUAGGUGCUGGUGCCCGAGAAACUCGUGAGGACCUGGCUCCUUCUCGCUGCUCCUCAGUCACCUUGGCGUCGCGUUUAUGCUCCAGUCAAGGUAAAGGGGGAGGAACAGCCUUGGAGAUGGUGCCACGGAAGCUCCACCCUGUGAGUUUUGCCUCCAUUUGCAGUCAGCCAGCACUGAUUUCCAUGGCCUCUUCUGAUCAGAAGGGAAUCCGGGAGAGCAGAGGAGUUGUAACUGGCUGCUUUGCCACCCCAAAUAGAAUCGAGUUCUCUUGGAUGGCGCUCUCAGCAGAGGAGACCUCGGCCGGCCCGCUGUCUGCCCUUCUGCAGCCAAACGCUGAGACGAAGGCACUGUUGGAAGCACUCUCCGGGCGGCAGCAGAUGCUCAGAAUGGAGUUUCAAUUGAACUCACUGCAUUUCAGCUCACUGAAAAACGCAGCACACGGAAGGGCGCCACGAGAACACGCUGAAGGCCCAGAAUCGGGACUGCAGGGGAGGCUUCAUUAAAUCAGCCCUGAGGUUACAGGAAGGAAAAGCAAACCUCUCCUCCCAGAGUUGACCCGGCUCAAGUCCUGCGGCCGCUAGAGAACUUGGAGAUGUUAGCAGGAUGAAUGUAGACAUCCCGGAGUCGGGCACUUCCCUGCCAGCUGCACAAGCAAGAAGUCGGUGUAGAGACAGACACCGCUCUGACUGUCCACCUGGAUUCUGUGUGCAAGGAACACACAUGGCCAGAGAGGCUGAAUUACUGUUUCAGAUUAUGAUGCAAAGGACAGACUUUCUUGAAGGAGCUUACUUCUACCGACUCCUGUUAUUUGCCACUCAGGACCUGGGAGCCUCGAGCCGGCCCUGCAUGGAGAGUGCAUUUGGGAGGGUAAAGCAGGAACUAAACCUACUGGUUCCUGGACAGGGAGCUGUGGGGUCUGGAGUCCGAGCUGCGGGUUGUGCCACACGGGAAACACGUCUACAAGGGAAAGUGACAGGCUGUUAGGAGGGGGACCCAGUGUGUCACCAACUUAGCACGCACCCCAGGAAGGCCCCG
rnacentral:lncRNA from 1 species